rnacentral:rRNA from 1 species
CAGUGGGGAAUCUUGUGCAAUGGGCGCAAGCCUGACACAGCAACGCCGCGUGCGGGAAGAAGGCCUUCGGGUCGUAAACCGCUUUCAGCAGGAACGAAAAUGACGGUACCUGCAGAAGAAGAUGCGGCCAACUACGUGCCAGCAGCCGCGGUGACACGUAGGCAUCAAGCGUUGUCCGGAUUUAUUGGGCGUAAAGAGCUCGUAGGCGGUUCAGCAAGUCGGGUGUGAAAACUCUGGGCUUAACCCAGAGCCUGCAUCCGAAACUGCUGUGACUAGAGUUCGGUAGGGGAGAGGGGAAUUCCUAGUGUAGCGGUGAAAUGCGCAGAUAUUAGGAGGAACACCGAUGGCGAAGGCACCUCUCUGGGCCGAUACUGACGCUGAGGAGCGAAAGCGUGGGUAGCAAACAGGAUUA